rnacentral:rRNA from 1 species
AUGUUUAUAGUCCUGCCACAACCGAGUGCUGAUAUGUCGGAUGAUGAUACAUCAGAAGGGUAUAAGGAAUCAGCUGAUGAACUAGAAGGUGACACUAUGUCCGAGGAAUCAUUUGUGCAUGUUGUCUCUAGUGAGGAGGAGGCAAGAGAAAGGAAAAAUAAAAAGAACAAGAGGCUAAGAGCCAAUGCUCCUGUUACGAUGUCAUCGGAUGUUUGGGCCCAUUUUCACAAGGUCAAAGAGCCAUCGACGGAGCAUCCCGGAGAGAUUGUGUUGAAGGCUGUUUGUAAUUAUUGUCCCAAAAAGAAGUAUGCAUAUACGCAAGGUGGCAGCACCUCAACUAUUGGAAGGCAUAUUUUAAAAUGUGAAGGUUUAAGGGACAAGAUGGCUCGGAAUGCCAUCCAAAGAACUCUUGAACUGUGCAAAAUCAAUGGUCCAACAAGUGGUCCAACAAUGCACCCCUCUAUUGAGUACAACCAAGGCAUCGUCAAGGAGCUUAUUGCUAAGAUGAUAUGUGUGCAAGAGUAUUCAUUUAGAAUGGUUGAACAUGAGUGGUUCAACAUUCUAAUGAAGUGCAUGAAUCCAAAUUAUAAACCCAUUGGAAGGAAGGCAAUAUGA